rnacentral:tRNA from 1 species
AAUUUAGUAUAAAAUUUAAGUACGGUUUAAAUUAAAGAAGUUUAUUUCUCUAAAUUA